GUGUGUGUGUGUGUGUGUGUGUGUGUGUGUGUUAUGUACAUGCAGCUGCACACAGAUAAGAUCUGCACUCCAAGGGGAGCCCUGUGUCAUCAGGAUAGCUGCUAGCAUGGAGAACCUCCAUGCAUACAACUGUAUGAGCACCAACCAUCUUGCCAAUGUUCUGUUCAAUGCACUUCUAUCACAGACCCUCCAAAUGUCCCUGUUUUACAGGGACAUCCCUGAUUUAGAGAAGCCGUCCUGAUUUCAGAUUUGAUCCCGGAAUGUCCUGCUUUUCCUUAAAAAGGUAAAGGUAAAGGGACCCCUGACCAUUAGGUCCAGUCGUGGCUGACUCUGGGGUUGCGACUCUCAUCUCGCUUUAUUGGCUGAGGGAGCCGGCAUACAGCUCAUGUGCCAGCAUGACUAAUCCACUUCUGGCAAAUUAGGACGUCCCUAUUUUCAUUGGAGAAAUGUUGGAGGGUAUGGUAAGAUGUCCUUAUUUUCAUUGGAAAUAUGUUGAAGGGUAUGGAGUUAUCCAACCCCUGAGCCAAGGAGAUAAUUAUACAACCUUCAGAAGACAUCCAAAGCCCUGUACAGUGGUACCUCAGGUUGCAGAUGCUUCAGGUUACAGACUCCACUAACCCAGAAAUAGUACCUCAGGUUAAGAACUUUACUUCAGGAUGAGAACAGAAAUCGGGCGGCGGCAGCAGGAGGUCCUAUUAGCAAAAGUGGUAUUUCAGAUUAAGAACGGACCUCCGGAACAAAUUAAGUUCUUAACCAGAGAUACCACUGUAUAGGGAAGUAUUUUUCAAUGUUUAAUGCUUUAUUAUGUUUUUUAUAUAUGUUGGAAGCCGCCCAGAGUGGCUGAGGCAACACAGUCAGAUGUGUGGGGUAUAAAUAGUAACAUUUUCAUUAUGGAAUGGGAUGUACCUAUUUUCAUUGGAGAAAUGUUGGAGGGUAUGGCAUCAGGGUUAGGACUUGAAAGCUGCCCAUUCAUAUGUUUGCUUUACAGACAGAUGAGCCUGUUGUUGAAGACACCAUAUUCAGUAGAGUCUGCAACAGCAGUGAAGACUCAGUGCCAUUUUUCUAGAAAGCGAUUCCAGAACCUCCCUUCUUCUCUUACAAUGGCAAUGGUGCCCACCUGAGAGGGGCCAGAACUGAGUUCCAGUGAGUUCUGGCUUUUAAAAAGCCUUGGUUAUACUGAAGCGUUAGAUAUUCACAUACUUCAUUCCACCCAGGGCAAUUGUGGUUUUACCCAGCUUGUUCGGAAUGCUACCAUGUUGGGACUUGCUGGUGCUACUUUGCUAAAAUCAGCACAGAUCCAUUUUUGAUGCCUGGUUGCAAUUACAAUUCUUCCCUCGCUUUCCUGCCUUUCCACAACCUUGAGUGUAGCUCCCGAUCUGAAAAGCUUUACAUUAAAAAAAACAAACACGGACCUACGAACUAACUGGAAUAAUUAGUGCUGUAAUUAAAGAGCCGAAUUGCAGUCUGUUGUUCUUGGAGUAAGAUGAGCAGAUGGCAUAUGUGCUAAAAAGCAAAUUUUAGCAAAAUGAGAUGCCUAAUUUGUUCUCUGCUUAAUGGCACUGCUCAUUGAAAAUAUAAAAUCCAUGGAUUAGGUAUCAACAGGAUCUGAGUGGUUUUGCUGUACACCUGUAUUUCACCUUGUGAUUAGUCCUGUUUGAAAAUGCUGCCUGAGUUGGAGGUAUGUGAUGACCAAACCGCUCUUGAAAACCUUAUAAAUAAGUAAGGGCUUUUGGAGACACCUGGGGAUGUAAUGUAAUGCAAUAAUAAUGUGCUAUAAUCAUUGCUUCAUAGCAAAGAAAAGCUUAUAGGCAUGUAAAAAACCACAUUUUUGUUUCUGUCUUAAACAUAACAGAGUUUCUAGAACGUAGUGAAAAACAGUGAACAAAAAUGCAUACCAUAAUUUUUAUUUAAAAAUCUUCAUCUUUUAAGGAGCUGCAAGGCUCUCUGAGUUGGUUUGGGUUGGGUUUUUUUUGCUGAUAUAGACUGAACAAGGCCAUCUCUCUGGAAAUUCUAGGAAGCAGACCAUAUAUGACUUAAUGAAAUUGUAUACUUUUUUUUAUUAUUUUGGUAAUUUCAAGAGUUCAAUUUAAGUGACAAUCCUAUACAUACUUACCUGGGAGUAAGCUCCAUUGAACCUCAUGAGGCUUACUUCUGAGUAGACUUGCACAGCCUUCCUUGUGCUGUUAGUAGUAUCUGAACUAUGAAGCUUUGUAAUAGUAAAUCCAGACAUGCAGCUAACAAAAGCAGGGACUGUUACAUUGUAAAUAUUUUCUUGCCUUGCUAAAAUCUACUUUUAUAAGAAGAUGCAUGUAUAAAGAAAUAUACUAGAAAUUCCAAUUAUCUGAUUGUGUCAGCUAUUUUGUAGAGCACAGGGGGGAAAGCCGAAACCAAAAGUUUCAAAUAUCUAAGUAAGAGUAAAAUACAAUACCACAUAGUGAAUGAUGAUGUACACUGAGAAAGAUGGGCAUUCCUCUAGGAACUGAAUUGUGCGGACGACCUCCUAGAAAAUCAAGGACCCAUUUCAAUCCGAAAUUGACAAUAAGGUAUGUCUUAAAUCUCAAAAAUGAUUUUUAUUUGGUUUUACAAAUUUAUUCACACUCAAAAUCACAAAUAAUAAAAAUUACACAAGAUUCCUCCGAAUCUCUAGACUUCCCUCUUCCCCUCCUUGGGUUCUUUAGUUAAACUUUUCAACUGCAAGUCCUCCUAAUUUUAGAAUCCUCCAUUGUAUCCAAAGACUGUGUAAUAUUACAAGAGUUAUUUAAGACCUGCCAAAAAGUUCAAGUAUUUACAGUGGUCUGUCAAAAAUAAAAUAAAUUUCUCCCAUUCUUUCUUGAAGUUUUGAUCCUCCUGCUUUCUGAUUUUCCCAGUCAUUCUUGCCAUCUCUGCACAGUCCAUUAGUUUCGUCUGCCAGUCCACUCUGGUAGGGACCUUGUCGUCUUUCCAGCUCUAGGCAAGCAGCAUCCUUGCAGCUGUUGUAGCAUAAAUAAACAGUCAGGUAUGUCUCGAAUCUCAUUCUGGUUCUCACUUCUUAACUGUUCAUCCUUACUCUGGUUUCUCUUCAGAUCAUAUAAACCUUAACUGUACAGUACCUCUG
rnacentral:lncRNA from 1 species